GCAUGUGUGCAAAUGCAGCUCACUUCUGGAGACUGAGCUGCACGUAGUACCUAGUUCACUGACAUGGUCUGGAGAAUUCCCAGUGCAUGUCACAGAGGGUCUGUCACACCGCAUCUCCUCAUCGGAGCUGGCGUUUGCACGCUUCUCCUGCACGUGAAAGCUAGGAUUUGCUCUUUAUUUCACUAUUAUGUGUUUUCAGCUCUUUCUGCCAAUUUCAACUUCCUGGGUCUUUUGCUAGUAGGAAAACACACGUGUUCAUAGGUAACACGUAUUUUAAGGAAAGCACGUGUCCCCUUUCCCGGGGCUGCUGGAGGAGAGCCCUGCACAUUAGCACCGAGCAGUGUGGCUCCGGGAAGAGAUAGACUUCGAGCUUCCCCAAGACCGUCAGGCCGGUGCAACCUGAAGAUGGGGAUUCAGACUCACUGAAUCUGUUCUGUUCUCUGUUGGAGUAGCGCGUCCAAGGACAAAACUAUUAACAAAGGGGACUUGUUAAAUUCCUAGAACUUUAAAAAGUUGCCAUGUCUUGAUAAUUUGCCAUGGAGAUAGCAUUGAGAGCCUAUUUCUGUAUUCCCGAAGUUACAAAAUUACCCAGAUAUAUCUGCCAGUUGGUGCACGACAGAAUGUUUGUCGUCCUGUGAAUUCUAGAUGUUAUUGCCUGACAAAUUGUUUCUUCCUUUUUUAAAUCUUUAACUAUGGGGGUUUCUGUUUUGUUUUAAAUCAGUAGAUUUUAUUUUUCUUUUUUAAGAACCGUUUUAGUUUUUCAGACAAAUUGAGCAGAACGUCCAGUUGGCCUAGUAGUAAAGUUUCUGUCUCAGUAACCCUUGCGCCGUGCGCUGCCUGCAUCCCCGCCAACGGGCCAGGCGUUCCGCAGCGUUCCCCGAAGUCCAGUCUGCGGCAGGCCCCCCUUGUGCGUACGUCGGGGGUUGCCAGGUCCCUGGACAGCCAGCCUGUGGUCUCCUGCCAAGCUUCCUGAAGAAAUCUUCCCAGGAGCAGUGUGAGGAAGACAGACCCCAGCGCCCCCGCCGGCCUGCCACCAUGCCCAAGAGAAAAGCAAAGGGAGACGCUAAGGGUGACAAAGCCAAGGUGAAAGGGGAGCCUCAGAGGAGGUCGGCGCGGCUGUCUGCCAGACCUGCUCCCCCAAAGCCAGAAGCCAGGCCUGCCAAGGCCCCCCGCAAGAAGGGAGAGAAGCUGCCCAAGGGGAAGAAGGGGGGCACAGAGGGCGGCGCGUCCGGGAACAGGGCCACCAAGGACGCGGCCGCCCCCGCGGCACAGCCACAGACAGCCGAAGGCAGCAGCGACACCAAAUGAAAUGUGCAGUGUUCAUAGCUCCGUUCUUCCAGUGACUCUGUCCCUCGAAACACCAUUUUUCUUUAAUCAACUUUUAUACAAAUGUAGACUUUGGGGUCCUAUUUCAAAUUUCUGUGGUUCGCGUACAAGACACAUUGUCAGUGUCCCUUGUGGAAAGCGCCAGCACCACUGACCAGAGGUCUCCGAAGCCGGGUGGAAAGGGGGGAGGCGGCCUCUCCUGUCCUCACCCUUGAAGAUUGUUCGUGGCUCCCAGGAGAGCUCUGGGACACUCACUGCUGUCACCACUGCGGUCAGACGCCUUCCAGCCCGGUGUUCCCCGCAGCCAGCGCACGUGCGGGACUCCUCAGGACAGUCGUGACGCAGCCCCGGCACCCCGGUCCUACCCGGUCAUCACGUCAGGCCUUCGGGCCGGGACUUCACGAUAGCACUGCCAGAAAGAGCCAGGGUUCCAGUGUGUCAUUGGCGGUGACCCCAGCGGCCAUCCCGGAGGCUGCAGUCCCGUCCCCCGCCCCCCCCCCCCAGGGUGACCCGUGAACCGCUCUCACGUGCCUGUUGGGAAAUCUCCAGCCCCUUCUGAGAGUUUCACCUUCCCAACCAGCAGCGGAAGACGGCCGGCCUGUGGGAGUUUGGACGUCGUCGGCCUUGGGGAUGUCAGCCAUGUCCUCCUGGAAGGGACUGGCUUUGGAAAGUUCCCUGUGAAAGCUGAGCACACAUUAGCUGGGGGCGGGGGGGGGGGGGCGUUUGCUCCCCGGCCCUAGAGAUCUGCCCUGUGGCUCGGACAUCGUGGGCCCCGCACGUCCUUCUGUCUGUCUGUCUGUCUGUAGUCUUCUCCGCACUGCUGGGCAGGAAAGGAGGAGAUAGGAGCUCAGAGUGUUUUCUCCAAGCUGGUAGGUGGUGGUUGUCUCCGUACCGUCUGCCUGCAGAAUGGUUCUUCUUCCCCACGGAUCCGGAUCCGGAGCGCCAGCUCUUUGAUGCACAGGUCCCCGUGGGCAGGCGGGUCUGUUGACGACCCUCUUGUGACUCACUGGUCAGUCGGCCCAGCUCCGUGGCGAUGGACUGCCCGAGCGCUCCUGCGGCUCCUGGAACAAGGCCUUGUGGCUCAGGACAAAUCCUGCCUCCAAAAAGAAUCUCCACCAAACUUUCCUUCUUCGGGAGCCCUUCUCGGCCCAUCACUCCUCCGUUGGACCAUUAGCAUUAGAUUGACAAGUUCUCCAACAAAACAAAAAUUGUGGAAUUUUUAGUGGCUUUGUAUUGGAUUUCUAGACUAAUUUCAGUGUGGAGUCUUCCCAUGAAGGUGAUGUAGCUCUCUAUUUACUUAGCCUUUUCAAGUGUCUUUCAAUAAAGUUUUAUAAUUUUCUCCAUAAA